rfam:Habropoda laboriosa contig221, whole genome shotgun sequence.
AAAUCGGUUCUUUUUAGAACCACCAUGAUGUACAAAAUCAAUAACU